rnacentral:rRNA from 1 species
GACGAACGCUGGCGGCGUGCUUAACACAUGCAAGUCGAACGGAAAGGCCCUGCUUUUGUGGGGUGCUCGAGUGGCGAACGGGUGAGUAACACGUGAGUAACCUGCCCUUGACUUUGGGAUAACUUCAGGAAACUGGGGCUAAUACCGGAUAGGAGCUCCUGCUGCAUGGUGGGGGUUGGAAAGUUUCGGCGGUUGGGGAUGGACUCGCGGCUUAUCAGCCUGUUGGUGGGGUAGUGGCUUACCAAGGCUUUGACGGGUAGCCGGCCUGAGAGGGUGUCCGGCCACAUUGGGACUGAGAUACGGCCCAGACUCCUACGGGAGGCAGCAGUGGGGAAUAUUGCACAAUGGGCGGAAGCCUGAUGCAGCAACGCCGCGUGCGGGAUGACGGCCUUCGGGUUGUAAACCGCUUUCGCCUGUGACGAAGCGUGAGUGACGGUAAUGGGUAAAGAAGCACCGGCUAACUACGUG